AACGAACGCUGGCGGCAUGCCUAACACAUGCAAGUCGAACGAGACCUUCGGGUCUAGUGGCGCACGGGUGCGUAACGCGUGGGAACCUGCCCUUAGGUUCGGAAUAACUCCCCGAAAGGGGUGCUAAUACCGGAUAAUGUCUUCGGACCAAAGAUUUAUCGCCUCUGGAUGGGCCCGCGUUGGAUUAGCUAGUUGGUAGGGUAAAAGCCUACCAAGGCGACGAUCCAUAGCUGGUCUGAGAGGAUGAUCAGCCACACUGGGACUGAGACACGGCCCAGACUCCUACGGGAGGCAGCAGUGGGGAAUAUUGGACAAUGGGCGAAAGCCUGAUCCAGCAAUGCCGCGUGAGUGAUGAAGGCCUUAGGGUUGUAAAGCUCUUUUACCCGGGAUGAUAAUGACAGUACCGGGAGAAUAAGCUCUGGCUAACUCCGUG
rnacentral:rRNA from 1 species